rnacentral:rRNA from 1 species
CAGCAGCCGCGGGAAUACGUAGGGUGCAAGCGUUAAUCGGAAUUACUGGGCGUAAAGCGUGCGCAGGCGGUUAUAUAAGACAGAUGUGAAAUCCCCGGGCUCAACCUGGGAACUGCAUUUGUGACUGUAUAGCUAGAGUACGGCAGAGGGGGAUGGAAUUCCGCGUGUAGCAGUGAAAUGCGUAGAUAUGCGGAGGAACACCGAUGGCGAAGGCAAUCCCCUGGGCCUGUACUGAAGCUCAUGCACGAAAGCGUGGGGAGCAAACAGGAUUAGAUACCCCAGUAGUCCCUGUCUCUUAUAC